rnacentral:rRNA from 1 species
CUUCGGGUCGUAAAGCUCUGUCAAGUGGGAAGAACCUGAUUAAUGAUAAUACCAUUAAUUACUGACGGUACCACUGAAGGAAGCACCGGCUAACUCCGUGCCAGCAGCCGCGGUAAUACGGAGGGUGCAAGCGUUAUUCGGAAUCAUUGGGCGUAAAGGGCGCGUAGGCGGUUUUUUAAGUCAGAUGUGAAAGCCCGGGGCUUAACCCCGGAAGUGCAUUUGAAACUGAAAGACUUGAGUAUGGGAGAGGGAAGUGGAAUUCCUGGUGUAGAGGUGAAAUUCGUAGAUAUCAGGAGGAACACCGGUGGCGAAGGCGACUUCCUGGACCAAUACUGACGCUGAGGCGCGAAGCGUGGGUAGCAACAGGAUUAGAUACCCUGGGUAGUCCACGCAGUAAACGGUGACACUAGUGUAGCGGGUAUUANCCCUGCUGUGCCG